UUGUGUGCAGACCUGGAUAUCCUGGUCCUGGGUUAAUGUUUAACACAAAUUGGAGCGCUGCGGAUGUAGCUCAGCGGCCAGUGCCUGCCUGGCAAGUGCGAGGCCCUGAGUUCGAUUCCUGACACCAAAAAAGAAAAAACAAAAGACCAAAAUAAAAGCCCCUUAGAAGAGAAGGAUGGCUGGAGCCAGGCAGAGAAAACUUCAGCAAAGAAGGCUGAUGAGAAGACCUCAAGUGUACGCUAGGAAACUUCCGCCCCCAGUGGACUCCGAUGGCCUCGCUCCUGCAGGGUCAGGCUGUGGAGCCAGGAGGGAACCAUCACUGACCUCCGUGAGCACAAGAGUGAAUGAAUGAGCCAGAUGUGGUGGCGCACGCCUGUAAU